rnacentral:rRNA from 1 species
GGAAUCUUGCGCAAUGGGGGAAACCCUGACGCAGCGACGCCGCGUGAGCGAUGAAGGCCCUCGGGUUGUAAAGCUCUGUGGGGAGGGAAGAAUAAGUGCAGGCCAAUCACCUGCAUGAUGACGGUACCUCCUUAGCCAGCCCCCGCUAACCCUGUGCCCGCAGCCGCGGUAAGACAGAGGGUGCAAACGUUGUUCGGAAUUACUGGGCGUAAAGCGCGUGUAGGCGGCUAAGCAAGUCGGAUGUGAAAGCCCACGGCUCAACCGUGGAAGUGCAUUCGAAACUGCAUAGCUAGAGUCCCGGAGAGGAAGGUGGAAUACUUGGUGUAGAGGUGAAAUUCGUAGAUAUCAAGUGGAACACCGGUGGCGAAGGCGGCCUUCUGGACGGUGACUGACGCUGAGACGCGAAAGCGUGGGGAGCA